rnacentral:rRNA from 1 species
GAUGAACGCUGGCGGCGUGCCUAAUACAUGCAAGUCGAGCGAACAGACGAGGAGCUUGCUCCUCUGACGUUAGCGGCGGACAGGUGAGUAACACGUGGAUAACCUACCUAUAAGACUGGGAUAACUUCGGGAAACCGGAGCUAAUACCGGAUAAUAUAUUGAACCGCAUGGUUCAAUAGUGAAAGACGGUUUUGCUGUCACUUAUAGAUGGAUCCGCGCCGCAUUAGCUAGUUGGUAAGGUAACGGCUUACCAAGGCAACGAUGCGUAGCCGACCUGAGAGGGUGAUCGGCCACACUGGAACUGAGACACGCUCCAGACUCCUACGGGGGGCAGCAGUAGGGAAUCUUCCGAAAUGGGCGAAAGCCUGACGGGGCAACGCCGCGGGGGUGAUGAAGGUUUUCGGAUCGUAAACCUCUUUUAUUGGGGAAAAAAAAAUGUGUAAGUAACUAUGCACGUUUUGACGGUACCUAAUCAGAAAGCCCCGGCUAACUACGU